UUAUCUUUUUACCAAUAGCAUUGCUAUCAAUAUCGCCUGCAUCAACAGCAUCCUUAAUUCCUUUAUAAAUUUCUGAUCGCAAGUCUAUCUGAUUUCUCCUGAUAUAAUCAAGACGGUCUUUGUCAAUACAUGAGAAUGCAUCGACCAAGUAUUGUUGAAAAAGUCUGCCUCCUCUUAUUAAUGUUUUUCCUUCAUUUAUUCUAUUUUGUAUUCUGUAAGCAUAAAAUUCACGCAUUGUAACAUAUUUUCUAGAUCCAAUUUUCCU
rnacentral:lncRNA from 1 species